rnacentral:lncRNA from 1 species
CACUCCCAGUGCUCAGUUGCCUGAGAGUAGAACUGUAUUUGAGAUAUGGAAACUCCUAUCUUAUAUCUAAAAAGCGUUGUUGCUACCUGGUUGAGCUCCAGUUCCGCUUCCUGGGUGAUUGGGACCAUCAUCCCCAACCUGUGUGGACUGGGGCUCUUCCUUCUGUUCCUUCCCUCCCUCCAGAGGAAUUUGCCCUUACAACCACCUUACAAAGGGAGAAAGUUCAGGAAGUGUCAAGAGGAGCCGAGAGGGAGGAGCAGCAGGAGCAGGAAGAAAAGGGGAGCUUUGAAAGCUUACAGAGCUGGCUGGAAGGACCUGGCAGAAUUGGGGGGCCUGAUGUCCCUUUCACAAAGCUACCUGGAGAGGCUGUCUUGUAAGGGAUGCUUCCAUGGCUUGUCAUCUCAAGACUCCCCUGGCAAAGCGUGCAAGACAGCGUCUGCUAGUGUCCACCAGCCAUGCGGGAAGCCUGUGGAAGGUGCUCCUCUCACCAUGAAUCCAGCACUUUCCCUGGCUCUUCUGACCCAGCGCACUCUACCUUUGGCCUCCACUCUGCCUGCAGAACCUCCAUCUGCCUUGACCAGAACUCCACUAGGCCCUGUUGCCACGAGCUCAGCUCUAGCUCACUCCUGUUUCCCAUCUACCAACUCAGGCCAUGGCCACACGAGCUGUCGCAUUGAGUUCCUCAGCAAAUCUAUGAAUUAUCCGUUUGUUGGUUUGAGUCAAGGGUGGAGGAAAUGUCCUGUAGAAAGUUCCAAGCGUGCCAGGUCUUCGUUUUCUUACUGGACAUGGGCUAGUUUAGGAGCAUCGUGUGAUGGAGUAUAAAGCGUGGACUUUGAGUACAACCGGGUCUGGGGCUGAACGCAAGCUUAGCCAUUCUUGAACUGCCUGACCUAAGACAUGUUCUUAACCAUUCUGAAUUUCAGUUUCUCAAUCCGGGUAAAGAGAAUAAUAAGAUUUACCAGUAGGAGUUAUAGGAUUUAGUUUCUUUUCUGGUUCUCUGAUCUACUCUGUAAUUUUGGCAAGUCAUGUGACCUCUUCAGGCCUACUUAUCUUUGAGUGAAAAUGAAGGUCUUAGUGGUUCUCCACAGGAAUAUGGAUUUUCUCCCACCUGGGGGCAUCUGGAGGUGUGUGUGGUGUUUGUUGAUUGUCAUGAAACUAAGGGAAUCAAGAACGUAAAGUGCCCUGUAAGGGGGAGGACAGUCCCAUACAACAGAGAAUUGCUCCAUCAGAAAAUCAACGUAGCCCUGUUGUGAAACCCAAUUAGAUAAUCUCUGAAGUCCUUGUCACCUUAGCAUUUCAUCAUUUUACUCUAUGUCAUUGUUUCCUUACCAUAACGAUGGAUGAAGUAGAUAAUUAAAUGCUAUGAGCCACCCUGCCACACAUGAG